rnacentral:lncRNA from 1 species
CGCCCUUGUCGAGGUAAUUAGUACCGACGACCGCCGAUAUGGCCGUGUUGUUGAAUCUGGGGAUGCCAAAUAAUCUUCAAAGAAGCUUUUAAGAAUUAAGGACUUGCCCACGCUGCCUUACCCAGCCAAGCAGUGAGCUGCGGUCAGUAUCCAGCGCUUGUUGAGAAUGGAACCGCCGCAGAAGUGUCGGUUGUUGAGCCUCAGAGACACCUGGUAAGGAAACUGGCCGUCCUCGGCCGCCGUGCCUCCGACGAUCUUCGGCGAGUCAUCUGUGUAAUCAGCAGCGAUUAGAAAUGCACUUUUUACGCGGAUUACAUGGAAGCGAAUAUGGAGACAGUUUAAUACCCGCCGAGACAGCAGCAAAACACAGUGUAGCACAGAAUAAAGCUAAAGUAAGCGCGAAUCUGCGCGAGCAAAGAGACUCCAUGUUCGAGGCUAAUGGUGUGUACUCGGUAUGCGAACGUUCGGUUGACUAUAAUUUCGGAGUCUCGCGAGCUCGUCCUUUAUAUACCUAUGCAUGCGGCUGACUCUCGUGCAAUAUCGUUUAAGUCCAGCUAUUAAGCUCACCUGCGAGAGUUGAUAUUCAAAUUUGGGUCGGACCCAUUGGGUAUAUGUAAGGUAAAAGAAAAGUAAUUUACGAUGUAUCUGGCGUAGCUAUGAUAGACGUCAACUGAACCGGAUGACUGAUAACUUAACUGGCGAAGAUUCGGGGGGCGGGGGACGAAUUAGCCUCGUUUUUGAGAAAUUUUCCUUAUUUUCCCCCGACGCCCAGCGAGAGAUACCAUUGACGUCUGAUACUGACCCGUUGACAGGUGCUUGUUUUAGCGCGCGCGCGCGCGCGUGCUCGCACAUAGUAAUUUCUCUUUUAUUUUUUACACUUUUGUGCGAGUGCGUACGUACAACUUUCUUUUUCAAAUCUACGUAAUUGCUCGUUUCAAAUUGAAAUUAUACCAGUUGAACGACUGCGUCCUGUAUACGUAUCGCAGAGGAAAACUACAACGUUGAAUCGUUUAAACAGAGUAUAAUAAGCGUUCGUCGAUUAAAAUAGAGCGGAAUCAAUUUCAGCCGUGUAUACAUACAAACGCACACACACACACACACACAGGCCUCGUCGAGAUCGAACGAGUUCAAAACACCCGUCGUAUAGAGAACGUCUGGGAAACCGAAAGCGAAUGUAAAAAUAACACAGAAAACACUACUAAUCCCUAUACACACUCGAGCGCGCGGGGCACAUAUGCGCGACCAACGGACUGCUUUCAGUCCCUCCUCUCGCUGCAAGUGCAUACACAUCAGAGCACUCGGCGAGUCUAAGUGGUCUCGCUGCUUUUUUAAUUUCGGCUUGUCGAGAGCAACGUGAAUGUGACUCGAGUGUAAACGCCACUCGUGAAUGUUUCUAUCGCGUUAAUUGCCUAUGCUAUAGCUGACGUUAUUGAACGAUCUAAUUAGCGCCAUGAUGCAUGUAUAUAACGCUUGCCCGUAUGCAAGUGUGAAAAUUGAAUGAAGUCGUUUGAGCGUAGUUGAGUUUGCCAAGCCUGAUGUAUGAAAAGUAGUAACGAUAUUUACUAAAGUUUCUAUAAUCACGUUGAAUUGAUAGAGUAGCGCCGUAAUGUAGGCAAUAUUGCGUGUCGCUUUGCGAUCAAAGAGACAUGCGUAAGGCGCAAUUGUCGCAAUUAAAUUAUAUCGCUUCAAAAUGAUCGUUGCAGUCCAAAACGAUAUUCUUUGAUGACUCGCAUUCCAUUUUACGUAACUUCGUAAGAGAUAAUCUAAUUGCAGAGAUAUUAGUAAGACUUGGCCAUUAACAUUGGCUAUUCGAUUUUAAUUACAACUCUAAAUCUUUUGUCAAGCUUUCUCAAUGAUUUGUUGACUCUAGCUUGACGAACAAUAUAAAUAAUUUAAAAAGGUACUUACUACAACUACCAGCUACUAGCGAAACGCUUCAUACUGCUGCUCUUUGCUAAAAGUAAACUACGCAUAUCACACAUUGAUAGCCCGUAUUUUACGCUAUUUUGAUCUGGUAAUCUAGUAAAAAAAUUAAGUGUUUGUGGGCUGAUAAAGUCAUUAACUGAUUAAUCUCGAAGACACUACUACCUAUACCAUGUUGUAUGUGCCAGUUAUAAGAUAAAAAAUCGCCUAACUAUUUAUACAAGUCUAAUCUUUUUGCGUAUUAUAUCAAUUCAUAAUUUAUUUUAAAGAGUUGCAUUACAAUUUUUUCAUAUUAAUUUAAAAACUGACUGAUCCAAUCAACGUAAGCAGAUACUCUCGUGUAAAUGUCGGGGUGGCCAAAGGCACAGGGGUAUCCAAAAGACAGGACACCAACUUGAACACCAUCCUCGGUGACCAAAGGGCCUCCAGAGUCUCCCUGCAAUGAACGACAUUUAUAUAAAUACGCAUCACUUUCAAAUCUUAAAUCAAUUAACGUUAUAUAUCAGCCCGUAUAAGAUUCAUUGAAGACAAACAUCAUCUGUUUUAAGAAGCACAAAUCGUUAUCAGUAACACGUACAUCCUACGUUUGCGCAAAGCACUCAAGAGAAAAGAUUAAUGUUUUUAUUAAAUGAAUAAUAAAGUCAUUAAAAAUGUCAAACGACUUACGUGACAAACGCCUUCUCCGCGUUUUCCUUUGGUGCAAAGCAUGCUGUCUUCGAUGAGUAUCAGUUUUAAUCUCAACCAAUCAUUUUUACACGCUGCUUGAUUGUGGAUUUUCAGUUCAAGUUGUUGGAGUACUUUUGGAUAAACUCCUCCGUA